GACGAACCGUCCAAACGUUAUUCGGAAUCACUGGGCUUAAAGGGCGCGUAGGUGGGGUGGCCAGUCUAUGGUGAAAUCCUCCGGCUUAACCGGAGAACUGCCGUGGAUACUGCCAGUCUCGAGGAGGGUAGGGGCGUCUGGAACUAGCGGUGGAGCGGUGAAAUGCGUUGAUAUCGCUAGGAACUCCGGUGGCGAAGGCAAUGUUCUGGCUCGUUUCUGACGCUCAGGUGCGAAAGCCAGGGGAGCGAACGGG
rnacentral:rRNA from 1 species